rnacentral:rRNA from 1 species
GAUGAACGCUGGCGGCGUGCCUAAUACAUGCAAGUCGAGCGAACAGACGAGGAGCUUGCUCCUCUGACGUUAGCGGCGGACGGGUGAGUAACACGUGGAUAACCUACCUAUAAGACUGGGAUAACUUCGGGAAACCGGAGCUAAUACCGGAUAAUAUAUUGAACCGCAUGGUUCAAUAGUGAAAGACGGUUUUGCUGUCACUUAUAGAUGGAUCCGCGCCGAAUUAGCUAGUUGGUAAGGUAACGGCUUACCAAGGCAACGAUGCGUAGCCGACCUGAGAGGGUGAUCGGCCACACUGGAACUGAGACACGGUCCAGACUCCUACGGGAGGCAGCAGUAGGGAAUCUUCCGCAAUGGGCGAAAGCCUGACGGAGCAACGCCGCGUGAGUGAUGAAGGUCUUCGGAUCGUAAAACUCUGUUAUUAGGGAAGAACAAAUGUGUAAGUAACUAUGCACGUCUUGACGGUACCUAAUCAGAAAGCCACGGCUAACUACGUG